GCUGCCCCUCUGUCCCGAGCUGCCCCUCAGUCCAGUGGGGUCAUUUAGAAGGGUCGCCGUGGUUAGGAGGCCACGGAAGCGGACAAUGUGGCGGACUAAGACCUAUGGUGAAGUGGGGGCCACGUCCAGCACCAGAGCCGCCACCGCGGACAGAUGCCCACCCAGACCCUCCCCAAUAGGUUCAGGUUUUGCGGCCAUGAAUUAUAACCACGCUGCAUUUUGGUCCGCCUCUCCUUCCCAGGAAGAACCCUGUUACAGGUCUGUUGUAUUCGGCGCAUGUGACAAAAUUUGAUACUGUUGGAGACCUGCCUCAGGUGGAGUCACUCUGUCUGUGGUUGACAACUAUCACGGUGAUCAAGGAAUCACAGAUGAAACUGACCUGCAGAACCAUCUCCCCUUUGAGUGACAACCCCCACCUACAUCUGGUACAAGAACAAACAAUAUCUACAAAUAAACUCUUCCACUUGAAAGAGGGCUUCCAAAUCCACUUCUGUCACAAGGGACAUAGCAGAGGAUAGACAGAGGGAGGAUCUGAUGUGGUGAAAUUCAAUCGCCCUGGUGUUUCCCCCCCAAUCUACAGCACAGUCAACAAACCCAGAACCCGAACACAGUAAGGUCUCAGACUCCAGGAUGAGAAAAUGUGUCAUGCCCUGAUCUGUUUCACCUGUCCUUGUGAUUGUCUCCACCCCCUCCAGGUGUCGCUUAUUUUCCCCAAUGUAUUUAUCCCUGUGUUUCCUGUCUCUCUGUACCAGUUCGUCUUGUAUGUUUCCAAGUCAACCAGCGUUUUUCCCGUUUCCUGCUUUUUGCAUUCUCCUUUUUCUAGUCCUCCUGGUUUUGACCCUUUCCUGUUUCUGGACUUUGUACCCGCCUGCCUGACCAAUCUGCCUGCCUUGACCACGUGCCUGUCUGCCACUCUUUACCUCCUGGACUCUGAUCUGGUUUUGACCUUUUUGCCUGUCUACGACCAUUCUCUUGCCUACCCCUUUGGAUUAAUAAACAUUGUAAGACUCCAACCAUCUGCCUCCCGUGUCUGCAUUUGAGUCUCACCUUG
ensembl:lncRNA